GAUGGCAAAGGCCCUGGCAGGAAGUUUACAGGGUUUAACGUAAACAAGUUCUGGGGGAUUCUUUAAUAAUAAUAAUAGAGAAUUCCGCGUGCGCAGGGCGGGAGGGGGGAGUUGGCCUAAUGCCCCUGUGGGCUCGGCCUGCCGCCGCCGCGGGGCCUCUGACACUGCGCGCCAGGCCAGGUUCCUGAGAGCAGACAGCGCGGGCUGGGAGCGCCGGCAAGGGCGGCCCUCGCGCACCUGGCUGCCAGCCCGCAGGGGGCUCGCACGCAGACCUGCCCUUGCCACCUCAGCGCUCGGGUGCGGGCUGGGGGCGGUGGAGCCACGAAAGGUGGUGCCGAGAGCGGAGCGCAGGACAGCGCAGGAGCCCCGGCGCAUCGCGGCGCGCACAGACCCAGGAUUUGUGAAGAGGUGACCCAAAUUUCAAGACAAUGUUGGAUGCAAACGGAUUUGCCAGCAACUGCAUCACUGUCAAAACCAGCUCUGCCCGUGUCUUCCGAAGAUACCAAGUGAAAUACAUGUAGAUGGGAUUUACAUCUGAAAAACCAAGUGAGAAACUGAAGACCAGAGAGGGUGAGUGGUUUACUCAGUUUGGCACAACUGACCCCAACCUAGCCCUCCAUGAGGACUGAGCGCAUGAGAGAUCCUGAGCCACAGCCGCCCAGCCCUGCUCCUCUCGAAUUUCUGACCUACAGGAACUGCAAGAAGUAAUGAAAGACUGCUGUUUAAAGCCACUGCAUUUUGGCAUGAUUUGUUAUGCAGUCGUAGAUAACCAGAAAACAUCGGAUUUACAUUUUAAGAAGGUGGGGCAAGAGGAUGGUGGUGAACAUUUUCCUUCUUUCACACACACAUGCCUUGGCAUUGCGUUUGCCUGCAUGCAGCUAUGGCCUGCAGCCACUGAAGAAUGCUUGCAUAAGGAGCUCUUCUCUGCACAUACCCCGACACAGUGAUGGUAUCUUGCAGCUGCUGCUUCUGUCCAAGGCACUGCAGCCUACUCGUCAAAAGCCCGAAGCCCAGCUCUGCCAGCAGUGCACUGUGUGCUCUUAGGAAACAGAGAAGCAAAGAAGUUAGCAAGCUUGUUUUGGCAGAAGAAAAAACACAAAAUACCCAACCACAGAUCCUCAAAAAUAUUGCUAAGCACUAAUUUUGCUAACAUGUUAGACAGCCUUCGGAUCUAGGCAAUCUUGUUCCUCAGCUGGAAAGAGUUCCUGCCAGCCAUGUGAUUCCAAAUCCACCCUGGACAUAUGGGGAUAAUGAGAAAAUCAGCUCCGGCCUUCCCUGGCCUUCCAGCCAAGUGAAUGGGGGCAUCCCCUGGUGCUUCAGCCCGGGGCCCACCCAGAGGAUGCUAGCUGGCCUGCAGAGGCCUCAACCAUGCCCUCCUGGACUCAGGUAAGACUGAGGUUUCCAUGCCCUCAAAACAAUUGUUCAGACAAAAACUCACUGCCCAGGUCAAAGUCACAGCACCAGAAAGCCAACCUGAGGAUGAAGACAAAGCUCUUUGUUGGCACAGUCCCCUGAUCAUUCGAGGUCAGCAUCUCCAUCAAAAUGGACCCAAUGCUGAGGCAAGAAGGAGAACAUCACUGUUAAGAAGGUAAUGAGUCACAAAUGCUAUUUCGAUGGUUUUCUUUGAAAGAAAUACACAGAACCAAACCAAUUUUAAUUAAAGAUCUUGUCUUUGUAAUCAGGCAGCCACAAAUGAAGGCAAAACUGCUUUCAUGUGGCAUAAUAUACACAGAGCUGAACUAGUUUUCCCAUAAAAGGGCAGGUUCUUUUCUUCAAAUAAGAAAAGAGUUUGUUCCUAACAAUAUGGGGGAUGCAACAGAAAGCUGUCUUUUGCAAAGUAUAAAAUUGCAGAUCCUCCCGUGGAAGCCAUUUCUUGAUGCUAAACCAAUGCGAACGUUUGCCAAACGCACAUGCGAGCCGGGAUUAUCCUACCCUUUGAGAUUAGACAUGUGAUCCUGAUUUUUAAGUGAAAAACGCAGCCAGAGGCCAAAUAAACAUACCUACAAGUACAUCGAAAGCUCAAAUGGUUGAGAAAUGAUUGUAACACACCCCGGUGUGUAUUUCUGAGGAAGAAUCAACAUGCACAUGGAAAUUGAUGUUUUGAUUUUUAAUUUUAAAACGACGACAGAACUGAAAUACCUCCCCUAACUAGGUCCACUGAAACCAGUGAGGAGAUAAUCAUUUUCAGUUAAAUAUGCAUGUAAUUUAAUAAUCCACAGAUGGAAAAUGCAUUUGAGGUGGACUGAACACAGCCAGGAGUUUUUGCUUAUCGACAGCACUGAAUCCUGCCUUGACUAGAGAGACUCGUCAUGUGAUCAACUGUGGCCAGAGGGCAUCCUGCAGACAGCUCCUGUCACACCACACUGACCAGACUCUUAUGAGUAUUUAAGCAUCUUCAGGGAAGCGAUUGACUGUCUUAUAAUGGUCUUACAAGUACGGAACUUUAUUACCUGCUAAUAAUCAGAGCACAUGAUGGCACAAUAGAAUAUACGAGUGAAGUUCUAAAUGCAAGGUUGUUCUUAUUCUGUGAGUGGCAAAACUCAUGCAGUGAGCAGAUAAAGCUGGCAGGAGGCAUUGGCGCCCUAAUGCUGGGCACUAACCACCUGCCCGGACUGCGAAUAUCUGUUGGGUCCUUUCUAUAUCUGGUCUAUUCUCGUGUUUGAUUAUAUCCUGGUGGCAAGAAUAGCAAAAUCAACUCUCCUUCCUAUCCCAUGUGGAGAGGCAUGAUUUGAGUCAGAGAGCAUUAUCCUCUCUGCGUUAUCCAACCCCAUGUCCCAUGAUGCACUUUGUAGACAAGCAAGUGUCCCUGGUGGAGAAUCCACAGCCACACAUCCUCAUUGGUUGCAAGGAUCAGUGUCCAAUAUCUACUGCCAUGAUCAUUCUCAGUUUUACAUCCACAGAGCUUCAUAGAAUUCUAACACCACAGGUCCAAGUAGAGGUUUUGGCCUCAGAGUGGGCUAGAUUCCACCUCUGACAGCAGCUGUGGGACUGUUUUUCCAUCUGUAAAAUGGAGACAAGAGUAUCACCUACCUCAUGGUGUUGGUGGGAUCGUUAAACAGAAUUCCGAUCAUGAAACCCUUAGCCUGCUCCCUGCAUAGGCUGCAUGCGCUCAGUGAGCUAUGGCUCUGUUUCAUGCUGACUUUACCAUCAUGUAAGCAGUUUUAAAAAUGCUAGAAGCUUUAGUCAUAGAAUUACCAUAUGAUACAGCCUACUGCAGAGUCCAGAGGCUGAGGCAGGAGAGUUACUUGAACCUGGGAGGCGGAGGUUGCAGUGAGCCAAGAUCGCGCCACUGCACUCCAGCCUGGGCAACAGAGUGAGAUUCUGUCUCAACACAAAAAAGAAGACAUGUGUCCCCAUCACAGUAUCAUACAGAGUGCUUCCACUGCCCUAAAAUACCCUGUGCUCUUCCUAUUCAUCCCUCUCUUCAACCCCAGCAACCACUGAUCCUUUUACCAUCUCCAUGGUUUUGCCUUUCCCAGAAUGUCAUAUUGUUGGAAUCAUACGCUAUGUAGCCUUUGCAAAUGGGCUUCUUUCACCGAGCAAUGUGCAUUGAAGGUGCCUCUAUGACUUUUCAAGGGUUGAUAGCUCAUUCCUUUUUAUUGCUAAAUAAUAUUCCAUUGUCUGAAUGUACCACAUUUUGUUUAUCCAUUCACCUACUAAAGGACAUCUUGGUUGCUUCCAAGUUUGGGCAAUUAUAAAUAAAAC
ensembl:lncRNA FENDRR FOXF1 adjacent non-coding developmental regulatory RNA